UGGGGAAUAUUGGACAAUGGGCGGAAGCCUGAUCCAGCCAUGCCGCGUGUGUGAAGAAGGCCUUUUGGUUGUAAAGCACUUUAAGCGAGGAGGAGGCUACUUGGAUUAAUACUCUAGGAUAGUGGACGUUACUCGCAGAAUAAGCACCGGCUAACUCUGUGCCAGCAGCCGCGGUAAUACAGAGGGUGCGAGCGUUAAUCGGAUUUACUGGGCGUAAAUCGUGCGUAGGCGGCUUCUUAAGUCGGAUGUGAAAUCCCUGAGCUUAACUUAGGAAUUGCAUUCGAUACUGGGAAGCUAGAGUAUGGGAGAGGAUGGUAGAAUUCCAGGUGUAGCGGUGAAAUGCGUAGAGAUCUGGAGGAAUACCGAUGGCGAAGGCAGCCAUCUGGCCUAAUACUGACGCUGAGGUACGAAAGCAUGGGGAGCAAACAGG
rnacentral:rRNA from 1 species